rnacentral:rRNA from 1 species
ACCUCAAAUCAGGCAAGAAUACCCGCUGAACUUAAGCAUAUCAAUAAGCGGAGGAAAAGAAACUAACAAGGAUUCCCCUAGUAACGGCGAGUGAAGAGGGAAGAGCUCAAAUUUUAAAUCAGCCUUGUUUACAAGGUUGAAUUGUAGUUUGAAGAAGCGUUUUCUUGGGCUCGCGGCCGGUAGAAGUUCUUUGGAACAGGACAUCAUAGAGGGUGACAAUCCCGUCCGUGACCGGUCGUGCGUUCAUCUACGAUACGCUUUCAAAGAGUCGAGUUGUUUGGGAUUGCAGCUCCAAACGGGUGGUAAACAUCACCUAAGGCUAAAUAUUGGCGAGAGACCGAUAGCGAACAAGUACCGUGAGGGAAAGAUGAAAAGAACUUUGAAAAGAGAGUUAAACAGUACGUGAAAUUGUUGAAAGGGAAACGAUUGAAGUCAGUCGUGCUGGCGCGAAAUCAACCCUCUCGUCUUGAGAUCACAUGGCGCGACGAGCCUCAAAACCGUCACGAAGCGUGAACUCUUGACGAAAAGGUGCACUUUCGUGUCCGCUGGUUAACAUCAAUUUCGAACGUCAUAAAAAGGCUGGAGGGAUGUGGCUCCUUCGGGAGUGUUAUAACCUUUAGCGGAAUGUGGCGUUCGGGAUUGAGGAUUGCAACGAAUACCUUCAGGGCUGUUCCACCUGGCUUCUCAUUGGUAUCCUGGUGACGACAGCUUGCUGACGUCGUUAGGAUCAGCUUCUGAACAGGCUAGAGUGUGAGCAAAUUCGUUAAGGAUGUUAACGUAAUGGCUUUAAACGACCCGUCUUGAAACACGGACCA